UACGUAGGGGGCAAGCGUUGUCCGGAUUUAUUGGGCGUAAAGAGCGUGUAGGCGGCCAGACAGGUCCGUUGUGAAAACUCGAGGCUCAACCUCGAGAUGUCGAUGGAAACCGUCUGGCUAGAGUCCGGAAGAGGAGUGUGGAAUUCCUGGUGUAGCGGCGAAAUGCGCAGAUAUCAGGAAGAACACCCGUGGCUAAGGCGGCUCUCUAGUACGGUACUGACGCUGAGACGCGAAAGCGUGGGGAGCGAACAGG
rnacentral:rRNA from 1 species